GUCUGUGGCCAUACUACCCUGAACGUGCCAGAUCUCAUCUGAUCUCGGAAGCUAAGCAGGGUCGGGCCUCAUUAGUAUUUGGAUGGGAGGAAAUCUGGCUUUUGUUUCUACCUCUGGAACCUGAGGUACCACAGACA
ensembl:rRNA 5S_rRNA 5S ribosomal RNA